rnacentral:lncRNA from 1 species
UAACUUGUUUUUAUCAAAACAGUCCCUAAUAAACAAAUGAGCUUCUUGCCAAUAUGCUAUCGAAAUUAAAGUAAGACCAUGAUUAGCCAUAAGAUCAGCCACUUGAUUCCCUUCUCUAAAGAUAUGAGUGACAAUGAAAUUCAUGGAUUUCGCCAAGUGAAGAACAUUUUUCCAUCUGUUUCUUAGAGACCAAAAAAUUGGUUUAUCAGGAUUUUGAAAAGCUGAAACAACCAAAGUGGAAUCAGUUUCAAACCAGAUAUUGUGCCAAUUAUUUUGAGAAGCAAUUUCAAAAGCCCUCAUUGCUCCACAAAGUUCAGCAAAGUAGGAAGUGGUAAUACCUAGAGGUUCAGCAAAACCAAAAACAAACUCUGCAGAAUGANN